CCCAUACCGUAGAACUGGUCCACAGCGGUGAACGCCUGUGGCAUAUGAUUAAACCAAAUCGCAGAAGCAGAAGGAGGCUGGCGAGUCUCACCUGGCUGAACUGCCCCGUCCUGAAGUGGCCACUCCCCAGGAAGGCGGAGGACACAAGAGUGGCCAUGUCCAGUCCUUCUGCCCACUGAGAGUGGGGAUGGGAAAAGCUGGGGGAGAGGAGCCCUGGGACCCAUUUCAGAGAUUAGCGCUGCCUCAGGAGCAAGAGAUUCUCUUUGCUGGAUUGAUGAAGUAAAUGACCGUAUUGAGGACUUAACAGCAGCCUUCAGCCAAUAGCCAAAAAAAUCUGAGGUUCUCAGCCUCGUAGCUACAAGGAAGUAAACUCCAUCAACAACCUGACUGAGCCUGGAAGUGGAUCUUCUCCCACUGAGGCGCCAAUGAGACUAGCUCUAGGGGUAAAUAGCCACAUUUUGCUAUGACACCUUGUCUGUGAUGAUGUUAUUGGACAAAUGCUCAUGUCAGGUUUCUCCCCUCCCAUUACGACAGCCUGCACUAGUUUCAGAAGCUUCAUUUUACUGCUGCCCUGCAGUUUCAAAAUCAUUUCUUAAUAGUAAACACAUGCUUUCAUGGUA